rnacentral:snRNA from 1 species
ACACACACCUGGCAGGGGAGAUGCCAUGAUCACAAAGGUGGUUUUCCCAGGGCAAGGCUUACCUGUUGUUCUGCAGAUAUGCUGACCCUUGUACUUUCUGCAAAUGUGGGAAAUAUGACUGCAUAAUUUGUGGUAGUGGGAGACUGCCUUCAUGCUCUCCCCUA